GGGGCUGUAGCUUAGUGGCAGAGCGCUUGCCUAGCAUGCAUGAGGCACAGGGUUCAAUCUUCAGCACCA
rnacentral:tRNA from 1 species